UUUUUAUACCUAUCUAUGGACAAAAAAUAAUCUCUGUUUGGUUGAAAGUUGUUAAGCUGAUGAAGAUUGUAGGAACUACUGCAGUGAAAUUUUGUUUAAAGGGUUGAAGAUGGUUUAACCAGAAAGGGAAGCCUGGAGUGAGUCACACAUGAUAGCUAUUUUCAUAUACUAACAAGAUAUUGGGAAGAGAAAUUGAACUUGAUUUCUAUGGCCACUUCAAUUAUCAAAGGUAACUUCUUCAUUCCUGGUGCUAACCUUCUACUGUUCUUACUUUCCUGAGAUCAUCUAGGGCUGUCUUUGGCAAAGAGGAGAUGAACUUGAUAGCAGGAGAUGUUUCUACCUGUCUUCAAGAAUGAAAACCUUAACUCAGUUAUUUGAACUACCACUAGUGGCAAUAAUAAUGAUAAUAAUUUUGAAAUAAUGCUUAUUUGGCUUAGAAUGCUUUUCUCUCUGUGUUUGAGUAUUUGUGACUGAUAACAAAGAAGAGAACUGAACUGAGCUGAAAGUUAUGGAAGGCCUGGAUUCCAACUGGGUCUGAUUUGCUAUGUAGCUUCCUCUCAGGCUUCAGUUAUCUUAAAUUUGUGCAACAAUAGGGGAACUAUUUGGCUAGGAGAAGUCAAGUUGUCUCAGUACUCUGAAGUCCUGCCAACUUGUCUCAAAUUCUACUAUCAGAGCCUUUGUUUUGAGUUAAGAUUGUGUCUGCUUGUCUCUUUUAGAAUACAGACAUCUUUGAAGAGGAUCAAUUCAAAUAGUGUCUUGUCUUUAAUAUCCUGGUGUGAAUGAGCCCAUAGUGCAGAGCUAAAAGAAAUACCUAAUGUUGAUGGAACACAGUUCAGGGGAGAACCCUACAUGGGUACUGAAGUAGAGGAAUCUGCAUAAUCAUUGAUCACAUCCUUUACUUUAGACAGGUUACUUAAACUAUGGGAGCAUUUCCUCAUCUCUGAAAAAAUGGGGCAAUUAAUAUACAUGUAUAAUAUCAGUAUCUGAGCAUUGAAGCAGAUACUGAUGUAAACUAGGCACAACAGUUGACCACCUGAAGGUGGUCACGGAAUGACGGUCCCCACCCUUGCUUCCAGGGUAAUGGACUUGAAAGAAGGGAAUGUAGAGUGCUUUGGAAAAUAAACUUUCCUACUUUAUAGUUUUGAUAAGGGCCAACCUUUAGUUGAGUAUCAUCUGUUUAUCUU
rnacentral:lncRNA from 1 species